rnacentral:lncRNA from 1 species
GAGACUUGCAGCUGGCUCGCUUCAAGUCGUGGAGGCCCAAAUAUCAGCUCCAUUGCUCCAAGCUCCUGAAUCCCAAGUCUCAGCUCCCUUGCUACUGCAGGCACCCGUGUCCCAACUCUCUGCUCCCCCUACAAGAAGUCCUUCAAACCUAUUCUUCUGGUCAAGAAGUUCUUCCAACCUUGUCACUCGGUAGUCGGUUUGAUAAGUUUCAUUUAUGGUGUUGGAUCGAGUAUCUUUCCUUAAUUAUGUCAUCCACUUAAUAGACUGGUUUGUUGUGUGUUCACCGGAGUGGCCAUAAUAUGUACUGAUUCACUAAUUUGCUAUCUG